rnacentral:rRNA from 1 species
GAGUUUGAUCCUGGCUCAGGACGAACGCUGGCGGCGCGCCUAACACAUGCAAGUCGAACGAGCGAGAGAGAGCUUGCUUUCUCGAGCGAGUGGCGAACGGGUGAGUAACGCGUGAGGAACCUGCCUCAAAGAGGGGGACAACAGUUGGAAACGACUGCUAAUACCGCAUAAGCCCACGGGUCGGCAUCGACCAGAGGGAAAAGGAGCAAUCCGCUUUGAGAUGGCCUCGCGUCCGAUUAGCUAGUUGGUGAGGUAACGGCCCACCAAGGCGACGAUCGGUAGCCGGACUGAGAGGUUGAACGGCCACAUUGGGACUGAGACACGGCCCAGACUCCUACGGGAGGCAGCAGUGGGGAAUAUUGCACAAUGGGGGAAACCCUGAUGCAGCGACGCCGCGUGGAGGAAGAAGGUCUUCGGAUUGUAAACUCCUGUUGUUGGGGAAGAUAAUGACGGUACCCAACAAGGAAGUGACGGCUAACUACGUGCCAGCAGCCGCGGUAAUUC